ACGACAAGCAAUAUCUUAUCGGCCAUCGGUUAAAUAAAUCAGUUAGUAAUAGGUAUGUAACAUUGCGGUAGGUGCACACAAAGCGAAUCGCAGGGCUCUUGCUCGGUGUCUAGAUUUUUAGUCGGGCAGCUGCUGAGUCACUUUUAUUUCACAUGUUUGCACCGAGUCAACGUGAAGGCGCUCAAUAUAUAUAAUACACACGCGCACGUAAUACAUGGAGAAAGUUGUAGAAGGUGGAAAUAUGCUAAUUUCACGUGACUCCAGAAGUACGAUAAAUUUAAGAUCUGAUUCGACUGAGAAAUUCGGUAGAGAAAUUCUGGUCACUUUCUUAAUUUAAAGUUUCAAGAUAAAUGGGUUUCGGUAUGCAUAUGGCGAUUCAUUAGAAGAUAUUACUAACGAAUGAAAUUUUUUAAUCUUAUGCCGCAGACUUAUCAAUGGUAUACUCCAUACUUUUUAUACUUUAUAUACUACGUUAGCCUCAAUUACAAUGGAAUUCAAGAUAUGACCAACGAAAGUAUUUAAAGGUAUGGAUAGUCAGCUGUGAAAUGAUAUUAAUUUAAAAGCAAGGGUUGAAGUGUAUGAAAUUGUUGAAAUUCAUCGCGCGUGCGCAGUGAAUAGUGUAACAGCAAAUAAACGUUUAUACGCAUUGUACUAAGCCUAAUAAUUAAUUAUUUCAAUUGAAAGAAAAUGAAGAAGCACAAUAAA